GACGAACGCUGGCGGCGUGCCUAAUACAUGCAAGUAGAACGCUGAAGCGAGGAGCUUACUCUUCUUGGAUGAGUUGCGAACGGGUGAGUAACGCGUAGGUAACCUGCCUUGUAGCGGGGGAUAACUAUUGGAAACGAUAGCUAAUACCGCAUAACAAUGGAUGACACAUGUCAUUUAUUUGAAAGGGGCAAUUGCUCCACUACAAGAUGGACCUGCGUUGUAUUAGCUAGUAGGUGAGGUAAUGGCUCACCUAGGCGACGAUACAUAGCCGACCUGAGAGGGUGAACGGCCACACUGGGACUUGGAAACGGGCCAGAAUCCUUCGGGGGGCAGCAGGAGGGGAACUUUGGAAAUGGGGGGAACGCUGAACGAGCAACGCCGGGUGAGUGAAGAAGGGUCUCGGGUCGGUAAGCUCUGUUUUAAGUGAAGAACGAGCGGGAGAGUGGAAAGUUCACACUGUGACGGUAGCUAACCAGAAAGCGACGGCUAACUACGUG
rnacentral:rRNA from 1 species